UACAGAGGGUGCAAGCGUUAAUCGGAAUUACUGGGCGUAAAGCGUGCGUAGACGGUUACAUAAGUCGGGUGUGAAAGCCCCGGGCUCAACCUGGGAAUUGCAUUCGAGACUGCGUAGCUAGGGUGCGGAAGAGGGAAGCGGAAUUUCCGGUGUAGCGGUGAAAUGCGUAGAUAUCGGAAGGAACACCAGUGGUGAAAGCGGCUUCCUGGUCCAGCACCGACGUUCAGGCACGAAAGCGUGGGGAGCGAACCGG
rnacentral:rRNA from 1 species